rnacentral:rRNA from 1 species
UACGAAGGGGGCUAGCGUUGCUCGGAAUCACUGGGCGUAAAGCGCACGUAGGCGGCUUUUUAAGUCAGGGGUGAAAUCCUGGAGCUCAACUCCAGAACUGCCUUUGAUACUGAGAAGCUUGAGUCCGGGAGAGGUGAGUGGAACUGCGAGUGUAGAGGUGAAAUUCGUAGAUAUUCGCAAGAACACCAGUGGCGAAGGCGGCUCACUGGCCCGUUACUGACGCUGAGGUGCGAAAGCGUGGGGAGCAAACAGG